rnacentral:rRNA from 1 species
UACGUAGGGUGCGAGCGUUGUCCGGAAUUACUGGGCGUAAAGGGCGCGUAGGCGGCCAACUAAGUCAGACGUGAAAUCCCUCGGCUCAACCGGGGAACUGCGUCUGAUACUGGAUGGCUUGAAUUCGGGAGAGGGAUGCGGAAUUCCAGGUGUAGCGGUGAAAUGCGUAGAUAUCUGGAGGAACACCGGUGGCGAAGGCGGCAUCCUGGACCGAGAUUGACGCUGAUGCGCGAAAGCCAGGGGAGCAAACGGG